GGCUCAGAAUCAACGCUGGCGGCGCGCCUAACACAUGCAAGUCGAACGAGAAAGGGGAGCAAUCCCUGAGUACAGUGGCGUACGGGUGAGUAACACGUGGGUAAUCUGCCUCUUAGUGGGGAAUAACGCUGGGAAACCGGCGCUAAUACCGCAUAAGCCCGAGAGGGGAAAGCAGCAAUGCGCUGAGAGAGGAGCCCGCGGCCGAUUAGCUGGUUGGUGAGGUAACGGCCCACCAAGGCAAAGAUCGGUAGCCGGCCUGAGAGGGCACACGGCCACACUGGCACUGAAACACGGGCCAGACUCCUACGGGAGGCAGCAGUGGGGAAUCUUGCACAAUGGGGGAAACCCUGAUGCAGCGACGCCGCGUGAGCGGUGAAGCCCUUCGGGGUGUAAAGCUCUUUCGGCAGGGAAGAUGAUGACGGUACCUGCAGAAGCAGCUGCGGCUAACUACGUGCCAGCAGCCGCGGUAAUACGUAGGCAGCAAGCGUUGUUCGGAGUUACUGGGCGUAAAGGGUGUGUAGGCGGUUCUUUAAGUUUGGUGUGAAAUCUCCCGGCUCAACCGGGAGGGUGCGCCGAAUACUGAGGAGCUAGAGUGCGGGAGAGGAGAGUGGAAUUCCUGGUGUAGCGGUGAAAUGCGUAGAUAUCAGGAGGAACACCGGUGGUGUAAACGGCUCUCUGGACCGUAACUGACGCUGAGACACGAAAGCGUGGGUAGCAAACAGGAUUAGAUACCCUGGUAGUCCACGCCCUAAACGAUGCAUAUUUGGUGUGGGUCAUUCAGUUGAUCCGUGCCGGAGCUAACGCGUUAAAUAUGCCGCCUGGGGAGUACAGUCGCAAGGCUGAAACUCAAAG
rnacentral:rRNA from 1 species